rnacentral:rRNA from 1 species
GGACCCGCACAAGUAGUGGAGCAUGUGGUUUAAUUCGAAGAUACGCGCAGAACCUUACCAACACUUGACAUGUUCGUCGCGACUUUAAGAGAUUAAAGUUUUCGGUUCGGCCGGACGAAACACAGGUGCUGCAUGGCUGUCGUCAGCUCGUGUCGUGAGAUGUUGGGUUAAGUCCCGCAACGAGCGCAACCCUCACUUUUAGUUGCCAUCAUUAAGUUGGGCACUCUGAAAGAACUGCCAGUGAUAAGCUGGAGGAAGGUGGGGAUGACGUCAAGUCCUCAUGGCCCUUACGUGUUGGGCUACACACGUGCUACAAUGGCCGGUACAGAGGGCUGCGAGACCGCGAGGUU